UCCCUUUUUGUGGUUCUGUCUCAUUAAGACAUCUUUGGUUGGGCACAAAAGGUUUCCAAUUGAAAAACUCAGCUCUGAACCAGUGUGGUUACUUGGGUCUGGUCUACAUAAACAACAUUUGCUGUGGCUAUAUGGGUUUUUAUUUACCUUAGCAGCGUUUGUUCCUGUGAUCCUGAGAUCCUCAGGAAAAAGAAAGGAAUGUUCUGGGAUUUUACGGUAGAAUGACAUUUGCUUUUUAGGUUGGCAGUCACCAUUAAUUCCAGAAGGUCCACUGGAGAAUAAAAUUUUUAAUCCAAUUAUGAUCAGAAGAAUGAGAAAACAAACUACAAACCGGGAGAAAAUAUUUGCAAAAGACACGUCUAAUCAGGGAUUGUUAUCCAAAAUAUACAAAGAACUCUCAUAACUCAAGAAUAAAAAAACAAACAACCUAAUUAAAAAAUGGACCAAAGACCUUAACAGACAUCUCAUCAAAGGAGAUACACAGAUGGCAAAUCAGCAUAUGAAAAGAUGCUCUUUAUCGUAUGUCAUCAGGGAAAUGCAAAUUAAGACAACACUGAGAUACCACUACACACCUGUUAGAAUGACCAAAACCUGGGGCAGUGGCAACACCAAAUGCUAGUGAAGAUGUGGAGUGACAGGGACUCUCAUUCAUUUCUAGUGGGAAUCAAAAAUGGUACCAACUCUGGAAGACAUUUUGAUGAUUUCUUAGAAGGCCAAGCAGAUUCUUAUCCUACAAUCCAGCAGUUGCACUCCUUGGUAUUUAUCCAAAGGAGUUCACAACUUGUAACCACACGAAUCUGUACAUGAUGUAUAUAGUGGCUUUGUUCAUAAUUCUCAAAACUUGGAAGCAACCAUGUCUUUCAGGAGAUCCAUGAAAAAAUAAACUGUGGUAUGUCCUGAAUUUUCACAUUUAGUAUUAUUUUAGGAAUAUUAUUUACUGUUUAAAAACAUGUACCAUGAAGUCAUAAAAAGUCAUAAAGGAAACAUGUGUAUUACUACUGAGUGAAAGAAAUCAAUAUCAAAAGGCUAUGUAUAGUGUGCUCCAAUUAUAUGACAUUCUGGAAAAGGCAAAUCUAUGAAGACAGUAAAAAAAAAAAAAAAAGAAAGAAAGAAAUCAGUGUUUGUGAGGGAUAAGGUAGGGGGAGGGAGGAAUAGGUGGAGUAUAAAGGAUUUUAAAGGCAGUGAAAAGU
ensembl:lncRNA